GUUCUGUUUCUCUCUGACCACCGGUGCACGCAGCCCUUGUCAUGUACCCCUUGCUUGCUCCAAUCAAUCACAACCCUUACAUGUGAAAUCUUUAGUAUUGUGAGCCUUUAAAAGGGACAGAAAUUGUGCACUCGGGGAGCUCGGAUUUUAAGGCAGUGGCUUGCCCACGCUCCCAGCUGAAUAAAGCCCUUCUUUCUACAACUCAGUGUCUGAAAGGUUUUGUCUGCAGCUCGUCCUGCUACAUUUCUUGGUUCCCUGACCAGGAAACGAGGUAACUGAUAGACAUAGACGGCAGAGCUAACCCGUUAGGCGGCUUAGGCCUGUCCUGUGGAGCGUCCCUGCAGGGGACUCCAGUCAGCCUGAGUGACGCGAUCCAAAGAACGCUCCCGGGUAGGAAAUUGCCCCGGUGGAAUGCCUUGCCAGAGCAGCGCAUAGCAGGCCCCUGCAGAGGAUUAACACGGUGGCUGAACACCGGAAAGAACUGGCACUUGGAGUCGCGACAUCUGAAACUUGCUAUAUGGAGGAAGCAGCAGAGAAGGGCAAAUUUUAAAAAGUGGAAGAAAACUGGUAUGCAUAUUUUCAACCAAGUGAAAACGUCAAGGAGGUUAAAGUAAUCAACUGGGUCAAAUGCUGCUGAGAGGUCAAAUAAGCAUAUCGAGAGUCAAGAUUGGCCUGAGUCAUUCUAUUUUUGAAGGUACUCUGAAACAAAUUUUAAUACAGAGUGAAUUUUUGAGGAUUCCAACAGCAGGGGAAAAACAGUGAAGUACAUAAG
rnacentral:lncRNA from 10 species